GCUCGCAGGCGGUUUCUUAAGUCUGAUGUGAAAGCCCCCGGCUCAACCGGGGAGGGUCAUUGGAAACUGGGAAACUUGAGUGCAGAAGAGGAGAGUGGAAUUCCACGUGUAGCGGUGAAAUGCGUAGAGAUGUGGAGGAACACCAGUGGCGAAGGCGACUCUCUGGUCUGUAACUGACGCUGAGGAGCGAAAGCGUGGGGAGCGAACAGGAUUAGAUACCCCCGUAGUC
rnacentral:rRNA from 1 species